rnacentral:other from 1 species
UAACCCCUGCGGUGUUCGUAUAGAAAGGAUGAUUUGAAAAAACCGAUACCCUUAUUGAGGGAAACCAGGUCUUGAUGGAUCGGAAAUGCCUACUCGAUAGGACUUUCGGACACAAGCAACGGUUGCCCACUUGGAAAUAAUGGGUUUUCUUCAAACACUUUCUUACGGCACUGGUGGAGGAAAG